rnacentral:rRNA from 1 species
GAUGAACGCUGACAGAAUGCUUAACACAUGCAAGUCAACUUGAAUUUGGGUUUUUUAACUUAGAUUUGGGUGGCGGACGGGUGAGUAACGCGUAAAGAACUUGCCUCACAGCUAGGGACAACAUUUGGAAACGAAUGCUAAUACCUGAUAUUAUGAUUAUAAGGCAUCUUAGAAUUAUGAAAGCUAUAUGCGCUGUGAGAGAGCUUUGCGUCCCAUUAGCUAGUUGGAGAGGUAACGGCUCACCAAGGCGAUGAUGGGUAGCCGGCUUGAGAGGGUGAACGGCCACAAGGGGACUGAGACACGGCCCUUACUCCUACGGGAGGCAGCAGUGGGGAAUAUUGGACAAUGGACCAAGAGUCUGAUCCAGCAAUUCUGUGUGCACGAUGACGUUUUUCGGAAUGUAAAGUGCUUUCAGUUGGGAAGAAAAAAAUGACGGUACCAACAGAAGAAGU